GGCGCUGUUGUCAUUCAUUUUCAGUGACCAGAGCUGCGUCUGAUACGUAGCGAUGUCACUUUUGUCGCCAUUAACACUUUCCAGAAUUUCGGCAACACCUUCAAAGGUUGUUGGGUUACCGUUUACGCAAAUGGUAUCGCGGGCCCUUCCAUCAAUCUUGUUUAUAAUUGAUUGCUCGUACAGAUUCAUUACUUCUUCUGAUACGAGGUUUCUGAAUAAAUUUAACGUUUAUAUAUAUAUAUAUAUAUAUAUAUAUAUAUAUAUAUAUAUAUAUAUAUAUAUAUAUAUAUAUAUAUAUAUAUAUAUAUAUAUAUAUAUAUAUAUAUAUAUAUAUAUAUAUAUUUAUAUAUAUAUAUGCUAGAACUAGAUAGCUCGAAAAUUGACGUUUUGAGAAAAACGAUUUUUGAAAUUUGACUUAUUUUGGUGAUGAUGAUUUCAUAUUUUAUGAAACGCAUUCAUAUCAAUUCAGGCCUGUUGUAGCAACGAACAAAUUUACAAAGAGUCGAAUUAUUUAGUUUUACCACAGAGCAUACUUGUUCUACAUUGCGAUGACUAGUUUUGUAAUUGAUAAAUAACAUUUUUUCGUGUUUCGAUGAUUUUAGGAUAUGUUAUAAAGCUCGACGCGAUAAAUAUGAUGCCAUACUUAACUCAAAAUCGACAAAUUUCGAGUUAUCUAGUUCUAGCAUCAAGGGGAUGAUAUGUGUGUGUGUUUAUAUAUAUAUUUCAAAAUUACAAUUUUUUUUGCAAGUUGUUUCUACUGAUGUGUACUAAAAAUCAGAGGAUAAAAUUAUCAGAGAUAUAAACUAAAUAAUUUUGAAUCUUGAAAAAAAAAAUUCAUGAAAAGACUGGUCGGACACCAUGACAACAGCCAAUAACAACUCCCAGUGUUCUUCAACCUGAGGAGUUACAUUCAUGGUGAAUUCAGUUUAACUUCUGAUAAACAGAACAAAGCUCACUUAUAUUUGUAAGAGAUGUUUAAAAAAAUACGGGAAGGACGUGUUAAGUCAACUUAAAAUUAUAUGGAAAUUGCUGGUAGUCGAAAAUACCUAUAUAAUAAAUAAAAACAUGCUAUUGAUGUGAUUCAGAAACUAAAAAGUAUUGAUUGGAAUGAAAUUAUAUUUGAUGCAUACAACAUUAAAAAUACAGUAAAAAUGAAAAUGUACAUGCAUAACAAUAAAUGAAAUAAAACAGUUUUCUAAGUAAAGCCGAUAGAAUAAGAAAAGCAUCGGACGUUAUGCCAUGUUACAAAUUAGUUAGCAUAGUAUUGUGGCCACGCGUACACUAAAAAAGGUUUCAAAGGCCAUCACGCGCAGUAGAUUUUUGCUUAACACUGUUUUGGUAGCAAUCUGAAAGAUAUAUUUGUAGUAUAAAACUGUAACAUAUAACAGUUUAAAAUUAUUAUAUAAAAUAAUUGUAAAUACAAUAAUUUACACGGUUUACAUACUCAUCGCUUCGAAACAUCGUUGUGCACAAUGACAAAAAGACAAACACACAAAGGUACAGUUCUCGGGGCAAUUGAAAAAUAUAAUGAAAAAUGCAGAGAUGAUAAAAAAUCCUAUAUUUUUCCUCCUGUAAAAAUGCGAGUUAAACUACGUGCCUUUUAAAACAAAGUUUCAUUUUAUUUUUUAUUUUUUCAAAGUAUAAGCCGCGUCAGAAUAAAUGCCUUUUUAUAUUAAAGAGAUGGAAUAUCAAGCCACUUAAUGGGUUUGCAAUUUAGCUUACAGCAACACAGUCACAAAAAUAGACCCAUGUUUGACAUAUUACACUACCGUAUGUUCUGAAAUUACAGGUAGAUGGAAAAGAUAUGUUAGAUAUGUUAUUUUACUACCUAAAAUAGGAUAACGAAGCGCGAUGAAAGAUAUAGUAUCAAUAAACAUCGUGAAAAUUUGUUUGGUGAUUUAGAGCACAAAAGCCGGCAGUGUGUACAAGUCUAACCUACUGUUGUAAAUCAAUGUCAAUCAGGACGAAAAACAAAUAAAUAUUCAAUAUUGUAAGUAAUAUGUUUUCUUUUUAAUCUUUCUUUUAACUAUAUAUCUAUAUAUGCGUCGGCUUGACGGUUCUUUAUCCAGCUUUCUACGAGCGGUAAUUGGCCCUGACGACUCUGUUGAUAUUGGCUCGGGUUUUACUUGCGAAAGUGAAGGAGGGAAAUAUUUUUGCUUUUGUUUUCACAUAAAUUGACUAUUGCAUAUGAGAAUUCGGGUAGGUGCGAACAGCCGUCAAAAUUUCUUUUACUUGUGUCAGGGCCAAUCGCCGACAGUACACGCAGUCUAUUUUGACGUUUUCUGUAGAUCAGUUAAUUUUUAAUCGUAGUAACAGAGUAGAAAAUAUAACUGUGUGGCAUCACAGUUGCUUUGGCACGCGUUACUCUUUAAUCUCACUCUGUAUGCACAUACCUGAGACAUCGCAGCAACCGCAUUGCUCGUGCGAUACGAAGCAUCGUACUUACGAAUCCGUCCAACCACUUGUGUCACUAGUGUUUCGGUGUUUUCCUUGUAACCGAUUGCUUGUUGACGGUCUUUCCUUUGCUACCGCGAAGGUUUGAGGGGGUCCCGCCGGUACCGUAGAAUUAUAUCCGAACAUCCUUGCAGUUUUCGCCACCUCCCUAUUCCGCAUAUCUUUUAGCAGCUGCAUACGAACAAACCGAUUUUCAUCAGCAGAACUAUACCGACAGAGGCGCACCUUCUCCAUGGAAUGUUAUUGUCGGUUCGUCGGCCCCUUGUUUAAGGUUUAAGAACGUGUCGUGUUCAGCGGUUAGAUCAACCAUGGAUUGAAGGUAGCUCACGAUGUUUUUAAUGAAUACACUGUAACAGUUUGGGUCUCUGAGGCUCCGACGGAGAUUGGUUGCUCUGGUUAUGCCCUAUAGCGUCUCCCCCAAGGGCAAGUGCAACGUCUGCGUUAGUUUCACGGGGUCGUUGAUAUUGUACAAUGACGCUGCGAUCUGAAACGAUCGAUGAACCGGGAAAAGGCUGGAUAUUUUCCAAACGCGUGCUUCCGGUGUUAGAGGAAGGCCCAAGAUUGUCGCUUCUACAGUUCCAGCUGUCGUCGUCAUGGCGAACGCGGUCAAGCGGUAGCAAACUAGUUGUACUCCAGAGCUGAUAUGAGCUCAUAUCCUUGGCUAACUAAUCCAGUCUUCUCUGCAUCUCCUCUAUUUUAUGUAUGUAUUCUCGAUUUUCUUCGUGGAUUGAUUGUCUCGCUUUCCUGCCUGCCGAGGCAUUCUCACCGGUGUCUCUCUUCGCGUUUGUUGUAGUGCGCCUUGGGGCUAAUCUGUACCUUUUGCUCAUUGCAACUCGUCUCAUUCAAUGGCCAUUCUUCGUGGGAAUCAACCUCGUUCGAAUCGCUAUGGUAUUUGGAGGCAAGAACAUAUUCUCCACCGGUCGACAUUUCGUUUGGUUUAAUAAAGCAACAACUACCAAAUCUGUAAUAAAAGCAUAGUAAGCAAUGGUAUAAGCAACAUUCUUUUCCAAAUUAGAAUAGCAGUAAAUUUCUACAACAAUCGCGGCUGUACGAAGGGCAAGAUGAACCUUUCGAGGAAGACGUGAGCCCUUGGGGGAUAGCCUCAAUCGAAGCAAACCAAGUGAGCUUCUUAACAGAAGAGGAGGUUCGAGCAGCGACCGUUGUAGAUCCACUUCUUCAAGAGAUUAUGGAUGCUGUCGAGAAGGGAAUUUGGCCAACGCAUCUAAAGCGGUUUGAAACUCUGAGCAAUGAUUUAGUCGUGAGAAGAGGGAUCUUAGUGAAAACUGGUUGCGCAGUUAUUCCAGAAAAUUUCCGCCGAAAAACUCUUACUGUCGCUCACGAAGGUAACCCAUCAGGAAUGACAGAUUCAACAUGUCCUGAUCGGUCAAGCAGAAACCAUGAUACCACUCAACCUCCCGCACCUAACACUGGGGAGCCCGAUGUAACACUAAUUGAAACGCCACAAUCGCCAGAGAGAAGCGGACACCAGAAUAUCUCAGAAACUAUAUACACUCAACGGAAUACUGGCACGUAGAAAAUCCAGAAUUAUAGAAUAUUUUAUAUAAGCACACUUUAAUCGCAGUCUGUAGUAACUCGACUAUUCCGUCUAGCAAUUAACUAGACCCGCUGCCAUAUCGGAGGAGGUGUUUCACUCAGUAGAGUUAGUUCGCGUAGCUCAUCCACCAGGACGCACUGCCCACAAUACUAAGAGAGUCCCUGAGCCACCCAACCAAUCCAGAAUUAUAGAAUAUUUUAUAUAAGCACACUUUAAUCGCAGUCAGUAGUAACUCGACUAUUCCGUCUAGCAAUUAACUAGACCCGCUGCCAUAUCGGAGGAGGUGUUUCACUCAGUAGAGUUAGUUCGCGUAGCUCAUCCACCAGGACGCACUGCCCACAGUACUAAGGGAGUCCCUGAGCCACCCAACCAAUCCAGAAUUAUAGAAUAUUUUAUAUAAGCACACUUUAAUCGCAGUCAGUAGUAACUCGUCUAUUCCGUCUAGCAAUUAACUAGACCCGCUGCCAUAACGGAGGAGGUGUUUCACUCAGUAGAGUUAGUUCGCGUAGCUUAUCCACCAGGACGCACUGCCCACAGUACUAAGGGAGUCCCUGAGCCACCCAACCAAGUUCUGCUUCCCGAAACAUUUUGUCGACGUGUUCGCUCAGCUCCAGAUUGUUCCUGCCAACAGAGUCGUCUUGGUCCUUCGGUUGUGGUUGGCGAUGGGAUCUCCCGUGGACCUUUCUCAGGCAAGUAUUCGCUCCCUAGUACAGUCCAUCUGCCUGAUUCUUUUUCACGUUUUAGCAGCGACGAACCGACUAUCAGCAGUGUUCCUGAGCCCGAUAGUUCAUGUCAGAAUCACUCAAUACCGGAACUUAUUACACACGACAUUGACGCGAAUAUUAUUCACGCCUACUACCAGAACGUGCGAGGUUUAAAGACUAAACUAGAUGACCUGUUGCUUGCAUCUAGUGACUGCAAUUAUGAUAUAAUCAUGCUAACAGAAACCGGUUUAGAUUACUGUAUCGAUUCCCUUCAACUGUUCGGAUCUGCUUAUAACGUCUAUCGAUGUGAUCGUAGCGCGAGUAAUAGCAACGGAAGUAGUUUUGGUGGAGUACUGAUUGCCGUUGUUCAAAAGUUCUGUAGUUCAGCGAUAAAUUAAGGCCGUGGUAGUUGUCUUGAACAAGUCUGUGUUUCUGCUGUUAUAAGAGGCACGAAGUUCUUGCUUACUGCAGUCUACAUUCCUACCGAUAGAAGCAAAAUUGUUGGAUUCAUUGACGAGCAUAUUUUGUCAAUGUGCGAAUUAUGUGACGAAGGUUCUUUGAACGACAGAGUUCUCAUUUGCGGUGAUUACAACCAGCCGCAAAUUUCCUGGUUUAAUGGAGAGAAUGGAGUGCAAUGUGAUAGUUCUCUUCCGCUUCAUGUUGCUAGUGCUGCCGUCAUCGAUAGAUUCGAAUUCCUGAACCUGAACAAGUUAAUACAAUGCGUAAUAAUCGGGGGCGUAUACUCGACCUUGUUUACUGCCUGCCAGAACAAGAAAUCUCAGUACAUUUAGCUAUUGCUCCGCUGCUUCCCGUUGAUCCUCCCCACCCGCCACUGGAGUUACUUCUACCAAUACCGGCUUGUUCCGUUGAUGUUCCUGCGGCUUCUGUUGGUAUGGCACCUCUUAACUAUCGUCGAAUCAACUUUGAUGCACUUGCUGUAUAUUUUUCUGCAUUGGAUUGGUUAGCCUUGUUGGACGAAUUGGACGUUGAUGAUAUGACAUUGCGUUUUUGCGAUGCUAUCUGCAGUUGGUUAGACGAUAAUCUGCCGAGAACUAGACCUCCUCCAGUUCCUGCUUGGGGUAAUGGUGAACUGCGAAGGUUGAAACGAUAUCGUAAUGCAAGACAGAGACUGCUCCGCAAACAACGACCACUCUUCAAUAGACGUGCUUUUAAAUAUGCAAGUGAUGCGUACCGUAGGCUGAAUAGUUCUCUCUACAAAUCCUAUGUAUUGCGGACGCAAUUCAGUUUGCGAUCUAACCCUAAAAGCUUUUGGACAUUUGUGAACUCAAAGAGGAAAAGCUCUUCAAUUCCUUCUAGUGUGUUCUUGGGCAGCACAGACUGUCAUGGAACCUUGCGAAUUGUUUGCUGAUUAUUUUUCUUCUGUGUUUGCCAAUGGCUGUACAACACAGUCUGAAGCUGAAUUAGCGGCAGCUGAUGUACCUGUUGGUGCUGUUGACAUGGAUAUUUUCGAAAUCACCCCUGCUAUGGUCAUUGCUGGUACCAAGAAGUUGAAAAGCUCCUACUCUCCUGGUCCCGACGGUGUUCCAGCUAUUAUUUUGUGUCGCUGCGCUGCUGCUCUUGCCGUGCCCCUCAGUCGGAUUUUUACUAAAUCGUUUGAACAACAAAAGUUUCCAGCGCUGUGGAAACAAUCUUUCAUGUUUCCGAUGCACAAGAAGGGAGACAAACGUGACGUAAGGAACUAUAAAGGAAUAACCAGCCUUUCUGCCGGAUCUAAGCUCUUCGAAAUCAUCGUCCACAGUGUGAUUCUAAACUGCACUAGAAGCUAUAUUUCAGUUGAUCAGCAUGGUUUUAUGCCGGGUCGUUCAAUGUCGACCAACUUGAUCGAAUUCACAAGCACCUCCCAACAAACAAUUUUGUUGUAUAACAGCUCGUUAAGCUUUAGUUCAGCUGAAAUCCGCCUAAUAGCAGCUUAACAAGCUGUUAAUCAACCAAAUUGUUUGCUGGGCUGUAUCUCACAGAUGGAAGCUGGAUUGCAAAUUGACGCUGUUUAUACAGAUAUUAAGACCGCUUUUGACACAGUAGAUCAUCGAAUACUUUUCAUAAGCUUUCUAAACUCGAUAUGUCUGAAAGACUAACCUCUUGGCUGAGCUCGUAUCUUUUAGGCCGUAACUUGAGUAUUAAGCUGGAUUCCGCAGUUUCACGGACAUUUAGCAACACUUCCGAAUUCCCUCAGGGCAGUAAUCUUGGUCCACUGCUGUUUGCUUUAUGCUUCAAUGACAUUGCCAUUUUGCUAGGAGCCGGGUGCGUAUUGGUAUAUGCCGACGAUCUGAAGAUCUACCUUGUUGUGAAUUCUGUCCAGGACUGCCAACGUCUGCAAGCACUGUUGGACACGUUUGCUAAAUGGUGUAACAGAAACAAGCUCACAAUAAGCAUCGCAAAAUGUAUGGUCAUAACAUCCCAUCGUUGUCAUGCGCCCAUUUCUUUUAAUUACCAGAUAAAUGGAUGUGUUUUUGAACGCGUAGAUCAGAUCAACGAUCUUCGUACCUUCGUAGCCAAGCUGCUGAACAAUGAACUUGAUGCCCCGGUUUUGCUUUUUCACCUUGAUUUUCGAGCACCAAGUAGACUGCUUCGUUAGUCAAACUUACUGACAACUAGGUCUUAUCGGACCUUGUACGGCUUUUUUGAACCACUGACGUCAUGCAUCCGUACCUACUCGUUGGUCGAAGAUUUAUUCGAUUUUGGAAGUGUUUCCUCACGUGCUUUUGGCAAAAUAAUCUCAAGGUCAGGGAUGUUGCAAUAGUUUUAGAUUCAAGAUUUUCAUAUAGAUUAUAUUAAAUAGUCGGAUGAAUCGACCAACAUACAAAUACAAACUCUUGCUGUUUUUGGAUUAGGGUCAACUAAUUAAUACAAUGUAAGAGGUCAUUCGCAAUUUGUUUUUAUUCUUACUUUGGUUUCCGGAUUAUUCACAUUGGCAAUCCUGCCAGGCUGUUGAAUUUUCAGCAGAGAACCAUGGUUCAAAAGUUAUGUAAAGAAAUGUUUUCCAGAGGCUGUUUAAACUCACUCAUUUUUCCCAGAGAUGGCUGGACCGAUAUUCACAAAAUUAGUCUCGAAUGAAAGGCCUAGUUGUCCCAUAGGUUGCUAUUGAAUUUCAUUGUAAUCGGUUAAUAACUUUGUCUGUUAUUUAUAAAAAUGUCAAAUCACGUUAUAAAAGCAAAGCAUAUACCAGAGACUGCUAAAACUCACUCACUUUUCUCAGAAAUGGUUAGACAGGUUUUCACGAAAUCAGUUGCAAAUGAAAGGUCUAGUGGCCUCAUAAUACCCUUUUGAAUUUCAUUGUAAUCAGAUUUUUAGUUUAGGCACCGUGUUUCAAAAUAUGCAAAUCGCGAAAUUUCAUUAUCUCAGAAACUACACAACCAAUUUAAACAAAACUGGUGCCGAAUGAAUGGGCUGUCUUGAAAAUUCUUAACUUAUGACUAAACAUGUGGUUCAAAAGCUUUUAAAAGAAACGUGUUCGGAGGCUUCGAAGCUCACUCAGUUUUCUUAGAAUUACUGCCGGUAACCGCAAGUCAGUCGCAUCUGUAAUUUUGUCAAUUCUGAGUUAUCAUCGGAUUUUGGCCUAUCAUUGAGUGUAUUUUCAGAUGUUGUAACAGUAAAGCCGCGCCAGACGGGAUCACCAGCUUUACUGUACUAGCACAAAACGAUUUGCCAGUCGCUCAGGAUCGCCUCAAAGUACCGAAACCUGGUCGGACCGCGAUUACCCAGUGGUAAUUGUCGCUCUGCCCGCAAAACGAUAGGCUCUCCUCCUACGACUACCCUUCGAAACCUCCUCGCUUAAGCGCCAGUACCGACAAAUGUCUGUACUGCGAGGAAGCGUGUUUUGUACCGGCCCGGCUACUCCUCUCAGGGCAGGUCAUGUAAGGAACGCGACUAACUCUCAAAGCGGAAACAAACUACGGAAUUGGAACGAUAGCGGAACGGUAGGUUUCUUACUGAAAAACUACACGGUAGUACAGUUGUUUAUUCACGUUUUCCCUGCUUUCACCCUACUUUCGCACGUGCUUAUUAUUCUAAGUCUGACCUGUUACGACGUUGCGCUGCGGGUUCUACGACGAAAGAGUCACGCUUAGCUACCACCCGGUCGUCACCGAGGAGCUGUCUAGCGUGUACCUCGGUGUUGGCUGCACGCGUUGAACAAAAUGGGGGCGCCAAGCAGUUAGCGUUGCCGACGGGGCCGUGGUGGACUCCACGCACGUGUUGGACGAACUGGAUGCGCCUGGUACUCCACGUUGCCGACGGGCGCUGGGGAAGACUCCGGUCGACUCCCGGGUUUUUCUAGCGGGAAAUAAAAACCUUCGCCUGAAGGUUUCUUUAUA